rnacentral:rRNA from 1 species
AGUGAACGCUGGCGGUAGGCCUAACACAUGCAAGUCGAACGGCAGCACAGUAAGAGCUUGCUCUUACGGGUGGCGAGUGGCGGACGGGUGAGGAAUACAUCGGAAUCUACUUUUUCGUGGGGGAUAACGUAGGGAAACUUACGCUAAUACCGCAUACGACCUACGGGUGAAAGCAUGGGAUCUUCGGACCUUGCGCGAUUGAAUGAGCCGAUGUCGGAUUAGCUAGUUGGCGGGGUAAAGGCCCACCAAGGCGACGAUCCGUAGCUGGUCUGAGAGGAUGAUCAGCCACACUGGAACUGAGACACGGUCCAGACUCCUACGGGAGGCAGCAGUGGGGAAUAUUGGACAAUGGGCGCAAGCCUGAUCCAGCCAUACCGCGUGUGUGAAGAAGGCCUUCGGGUUGUAAAGCCCUUUUGUUGGGAAAGAAAAGCAGCAGGUUAAUACCCCGCUGUUCUGACGGUACCCAAAGAAUAAGCACCGGCUAACUUCGUG